CCGCCGUCCCCAACCAGUUCUUCCCCAAAUCGAACCCUCGAGAGCCCUCCUCCUCCACCGACGCCGCCGCCGCCGACACUCCCUCUGCCCUCGACCGCGCCCUCCACCACCGACCCCUCUGCCCUCGAACGCGCCCUCCACCAUCGACUCCCUCCGCUGACCUGUGCGACCCCCACCCAUAUCGAUGACGCCGCUGCGUAGAGGUCAACCUCGCCUCCCUCCUCACGCCUCUGGUUUCGCUCCCUUCGGCACCGCCACAAGGGCUGGUCAACGGGGCCGGUGCGUCGAGGUCGACGUCGCCUUUCUCCCCACCACGUCUCCCACCACCCUGACGACGAGUGCGGUGUCUGCUCCCCACUACGCUAGUACAACAUGGUGCUCAGAUCUGUCAUGGAGGAAACGCGAUGCAGGUGCUACCAGUGAAAGGAUUGGGGAUUGGUUCUAGCAGUUGUAGGUUUGUUUGGAAUUCAUAAUGCUCAUGAUUUGCAAAGGCUAUCAGCCAGGUUAUUGUACACAUACUCUUGUAUUUCAUUUUCUUAUCUUAAUAAGUUAAUAUGCAUGUAUAUGUGCCUAUGAUUUGUAAAAUGUAAUGUUCUUCUAUCCAUCCAAUUUUAGCGAUGUGGACGGGUCUUUGUUUAUUCAGGUUCAGACAUUGCACAACUGAAGGCAAGUGUUUCACAGCUUGAGAAAGUUUACUCACUAAUGGCUGACUGUAUACAACUCUAGAAAGUUUCUUGUGCUAGCAUCUACAAGAACUAAAUUAUAGACAUGAGUGCUGAUUUGAUAUUGAAAAUUGCUCUACAAAAUUAACUACUUUUACUUCCCUGAUUUAUCAUCUAUCGAAUUGUUUCAUAGCAGUUCAGUGGUGCCCUAUCUGAAUUCUCAACCUGCAUGAAACAUUGCACUGGGCAGAAAAUAAUUGUAGAAAGGAAUGUCGUAAGUGGCUGGCACUGCCAUCAGGCUAUCACACACUGCACUAAAUUGGGCUUGUUGGACCAUGCAGGGCAUCUGCACCAGAUAAUAGAAGCCCUGCAAGGGCCAACACGGCUAUGGUUUGCUUGUGAGGAGGGGUUGAUUUCUUGAGUUGCAGCCUGAAUGAUAUGUAUCUUAUGAUACAGAGGAAAGAAAAACAAUAUGUUUCUUACCUUGUUGGUUGGUUGUCUACACGCACAUUUCCUAUGAACCAUGCCUUAAUAAUCGAGCCGCCACUGUAAUCUCACAUCGUGAUCAGUCCUCACUUGAUGAAGUACCAUACCAACAAGUUAGUUAAUUUUCUGAAGUUCCUGGAAUAAUUUUUUGACGCUGCCUGCUUCGGUACACUUUAUUCUUAACCAUUGGUUGAUCUAAGCUCUUUUUUUACAAGAACACGUCGAUGCAUAGCAUUAAACGCUUGCCGAAAAGAGUCCACAGCUCCUUGCACUCAAGCAUUAUAUUGUCUGACCUCCUAAGGGUCGUUGAGGAGUUGGCAUAUAAUAGCAGCGACACAAAUGAUUAAAAGAUCGAUGUUUCAGUAAAUGUCAGAGGAUGUUACAUUAAAGUGGAAGAUGAUGCUAUUGCAGGUUGGGGUAUUGCUUGAGAUGAAUUGUUUCUAUUGGGAGAAAAAUAUGAAAGUGCUAGUACAUUGUAUAAGAACAUUGACACAUGUGACUGGGAGCCCAAAAGACUAGUAACACUAGUAGAAAACGGAGCUUUAAAACCGUUUUCUGGACGGUGUUCUAUGGAAUCUUCACAUACAGGAAACUAAAAUUUAUAUCAUAGGUUGGAAAUGUUCCUGAAGACGGGUUAAGAUACCUUGCCGUAACCAUAUGCUCUGAGCUCACCUAGAAGACCUUACACGCUUUACUCUUUGUGCUUUUUCCAUUCUGUACAACUUGGACGUCUUGAAACUGCAGAUACUAAAUUAUUAUGUAAUUCUUCACAUGUAAUCAGUGAAUUGCAUAUAUUGUAACCUUGUAAAUGUUUGAUGAACAGAAUUUAUAAUAUGAAUGUGAAGUACUUGUGCAGAUUCCUUCUGGUUUAUUUC